CACACUGGGACUGAGACACGGCCCAGACUCCUACGGGAGGCAGCAGUGGGGAAUAUUGGACAAUGGGGGCAACCCUGAUCCAGCCAUGCCGCGUGAGUGAUGAAGGCCUUCGGGUUGUAAAGCUCUUUUGGCGGGGACGAUGAUGACGGUACCCGCAGAAUAAGCCCCGGCUAACUUCGUGCCAGCCGCCGCCGUAACAC
rnacentral:rRNA from 1 species